ACUCCUACGGGAGGCAGCAGUGGGGAAUAUUGCACAAUGGGCGCAAGCCUGAUGCAGCCAUGCCGCGUGUGUGAAGAAGGCCUUCGGUUGUAAAGCACUUUCAGUCGUGAGGAAGGUAGUGUAGUUAAUAGCUGCAUUAUUUGUACGUUAGCGACAGAAGAAGCACCGGCUAACUCCGUGCCAGCAGCCGCGGUAAUACGGAGGGUGCGAGCGUUAAUCGGAAUUACUGGGCGUAAAGCGCAUGCAGGUGGUUUGUUAAGUCAGAUGUGAAAGCCCGGGGCUCAACCUCGGAAUAGCAUUUGAAACUGGCAGACUAGAGUACUGUAGAGGGGGUAGAAUUUCAGGUGUAGCGGUGAAAUGCGUAGAGAUCUGAAGGAAUACCGGUGGCGAAGGCGGCCCCCUGGACAGAUACUGACACUCAGAUGCGAAAGCGUGGGGAGCAAACAGGAUUAGAUACCCUGGUAGGACAGUG
rnacentral:rRNA from 1 species